rnacentral:tRNA from 1 species
UUUAAUUUGGCAGAAAAAUAUGCAUUAGAUUUAGAAUCUUUACACAGAGUGAUCUCUAAUUAAAA